UGGGGAAUAUUGGACAAUGGGGGGAACCCUGAUCCAGCCAUGCCGCGUGUGUGAAGAAGGCCUUAUGGUUGUAAAGCACUUUAAGCGAGGAGGAGGGUACUGGUAUUAAUACUACCAGCUACUGGACGUUACUCGCAGAAUAAGCACCGGCUAACUCUGUGCCAGCAGCCGCGGUAAUACAGAGGGUGCGAGCGUUAAUCGGAUUUACUGGGCGUAAAGCGUGCGUAGGCGGCUAAUUGAGUCGGAUGUGAAAUCCCCGAGCUUAACUUGGGAAUUGCAUUCGAUACUGGUUAGCUAGAGUGUGGGAGAGGAUGGUAGAAUUCCAGGUGUAGAGGUGAAAUGCGUAGAGAUCUGGAGGAAUACCGAUGGCGAAGGCAGCCAUCUGGCCUAACACUGACGCUGAGGUACGAAAGCAUGGGGAGCAAACAGG
rnacentral:rRNA from 1 species